CUCAAAUUUGAAAUCUGGUACCUUCGGUGCCCGAGUUGUAAUUUGGAGAGGGCAACUUUGGGGCCGUUCCUUGUCUAUGUUCCUUGGAACAGGACGUCAUAGAGGGUGAGAAUCCCGUGUGGCGAGGAGUGCGGUUCUUUGUAAAGUGCCUUCGAAGAGUCGAGUUGUUUGGGAAUGCAGCUCUAAGUGGGUGGUAAAUUCCAUCUAAAGCUAAAUAUUGGCGAGAGACCGAUAGCGAACAAGUACAGUGAUGGAAAGAUGAAAAGAACUUUGAAAAGAGAGUGAAAAAGUACGUGAAAUUGUUGAAAGGGAAGGGCAUUUGAUCAGACAUGGUGUUUUGUGCCCUCUGCUCCUUGUGGGUAGGGGAAUCUCGCAUUUCACUGGGCCAGCAUCAGUUUUGGUGGCAGGAUAAAUCCAUAGGAAUGUAGCUUGCCUCGGUAAGUAUUAUAGCCUGUGGGAAUACUGCCAGCUGGGACUGAGGACUGCGACGUAAGUCAAGG
rnacentral:rRNA from 1 species